rnacentral:rRNA from 1 species
GUGCCAGCAGCCGCGGUAAUACGAAGGGUGCGAGCGUUAUUCGGAAUCACUGGGCGUAAAGGGUGCGUAGAUGGUAUGUUAAGUUCGUUGUUAAAGGCUCCGGCCUAACCGGAGUAUUGCGAUGAAAACUGGCACACUAGAGGGUGAGAGAGAGAAGUGGAAUUCCCGGAGUAGCGGUAAAAUGCGUGGAUCUCGGGAGGAACACCAAUGGCGAAGGCAGCUUCUUGGCUCAUUCCUGACAUUGAGGCACGAAAGCGUGGGGAGCAAACAGGAUUAGAAACCCGCGUAGUCC